rnacentral:rRNA from 1 species
UGGGGAAUAUUGGACAAUGGGCGAAAGCCUGAUCCAGCCAUGCCGCGUGUGUGAAGAAGGUCUUCGGAUUGUAAAGCACUUUAAGUUGGGAGGAAGGGCAGUAAGCGAAUACCUUGCUGUUUUGACGUUACCGACAGAAUAAGUACCGGCUAACUCUGUGCCAGCAUCCGCGGUAAUACAGAGGGUGCAAGCGUUAAUCGGAAUUACUGGGCGUAAAGCGCGCGUAGGUGGUUCGUUAAGUUGAAUGUGAAAGCCCCGGGCUCAACCUGGGAACAGCAUCCAAAACUGGCUGGCUUGAGUAGGGCAGAGGGUGGUGGAAUUUCCUGUGUAGCGGUGAAAUGCGUAGAUAUAGGAAGGAACACCAGUGGCGAAGGCGACCACCUGGGCUCAUACUGAAACUGAGGUGCGAAAGCGUGGGGGGCAAACAGG